UGUUUUAUAUAUUUAAAUAGAUUAUUCCAAGGAGGGAUCCAAAGGCUUCACCAGACUAAAAAAGAACCAUGGCAUUUGUGAAGGUUAAGUUCCCCAGCAUGAGGGAUAAAUGUCAUCAGCCAAUUAACCCCACCCCCCAAACUCACAUGUUUAGGAUGUGGAUGAAACCAGAAAUCAGAGGAAACCUGUGGCAGGAAAACUCCACACAGAUAGCACACAAGAUCAAGACUGCUUCACUGUGCUGCCCUAAAUUACAAGGUCCAAGCUGAAUAUUCUGGACCCUAAUCCUGGAUUCACCUCUGGAUAUGCAGCUCACUUGCAUUCCAGUGUCUCAGUAGUGGUUUGGAUGUGGAGGCUUCAAUGAACCAGAUGACUAACCAUCAGGACCUUUCAACCAUCAGAGUAUUAUGGAGCAUCUACAUCUCAAAGAUAGUGCUGCAGCUGCAAGCUAUGAACUUAUCAAUCACCCCAUGCUGUGGGCCACUUCUGGAGGUACAAGACACCGACUUCCACAAAGAAGGGAUCUGUAUGCUCCAUGACCACUGGACUAAGUGUGUAAAUGUAGGAAAAAUAAAUGUGC